rnacentral:rRNA from 1 species
UACAGGGGGUGCAAACGUUGCUCGGAAUUAUUGGGCGUAAAGCGCGCGUAGGCGGCCACUUAAGUCGGAUGUGAAAGCCCCUGGCUCAACUGGGGAAGUGCACCCGAAACUGAAUGGCUUGAAUGCAAAAGAGGGUCGCGGAAUUCCUGGUGUAGCGGUGAAAUGCGCAGAUAUCAGGAGGAACACCGGUGGCGAAGGCGGGUCUCUGGGCCGAUACUGACGCUGAGGAGCGAAAGCGUGGGGAGCGAACAGG